CAGGCUGUUGCAGUAUGUCUUUCACAGAUAUUUGUGUCUGAAUUCAGUGUGAAUAGUGAAUGCUGAAUUGAUUUUUGGCCAAAGCCAAAUCCUUCUACAGAUGAAAAACAAGUUCCUUUUUUUGGUUAUCACUUCCACGGGUUCCCAAAAUCCUUUUUCUAUCCUUUAUUGGGCCAUUUUUCACAAAACUAUCCACAAGUCACUGAGCAAAUAAUGGAUGACAAAUCUCAGGAAAAAAGUGACACUUCUCACAAAAUGAAGCGUAGGGAAUCAGAUUAGUGACAACUUUCGGCAUUUUGUCACUUUUUAGUACUUCUCACUUUCUCACUAAGUUAGAGAAUUUACCCCCAGGAGACCUUUUAAGAACUGAAUAUUUUUGAUAGAACACGGGAGUACAUACACCGAGAAAAAUGGAAUUUAUUUAAAUUGAAUAUUUUGCAUUUAAUGUUAAAAAUUCUGGGUAAAUAUUCGAAUCAAUUGACUUUUCUUUCAAUACAAACGAAAUAAUUUUGAUUUUGAAAGUAAUCACAAUAAUUUCAAAUAUUUUUGCAUUCAUACGGAGAAUAAAUAAUUUUUCUUUUAACGCGAAUGUUUAAAUAUUUGAAAUAAAUACCUCAGCUUUUGAAUCAAAGAUAAUAUAUGGUAAAAAUAACAAUUAUACAUUGAAAAUGAAAAACUACACAUUUAUAUUAAAUGUGCAACGUUGUGUUGUCAAAAAUAAGAUUUUACUUUUGAUUUAAAAGUACUGUUUUAUGAAAUCAAAUGCAACAAGCAUUAAUUUAAUGGGUAAAAUUUAAUACUGACAUUUUUGUAUACAUCUUAAUAUUAUCUGUAUUUAUUUCAAAUGAAAAAGACUUUUUAAACAAUUGUUUCAAAAUUUUAUUUCAAAUGAUUUUUUUUCUAUCUAAACAUUAAAUGACCAGGUAUUAAAUUGAAUUGUGAGAAACUUUUCUGUAUAAAAUAUGCAUUUCAUUUAAAUGUAAAAAUGAAAUAACUUUGAGUAAAUAUUUGAUAGAAUGGUUUUUGUCGUUAAAUAUAAAUAACAGUGGUUUUUACAUUUACUGCAGUCGUCAUAAUUUGAAAAAUUAUUCAUUUAAAUUAGGGUGAAAAUUAAAUUCCUUUCAUCAUAAAUAUCAAUACGUUUUAAGUGAAUAACUACUUAUUCUAAUCGAAUACAAUAUGUAAAAAUAAUUACAUUUUAUUAUUUAAACUUAAACUUUAACCAAAUGAAACAACAUGUCAUUUGCAACUAAUUUCACAUUUUCGUAAAAACCCUCUUUUUUGUUUUCUCAAUAGUUUGGUCUCUAUGGCAUCGAUCACGCUCAAAUUUCAGUAUGUUAUAGCUGGGCCUUAGAGCUUCGACUAAAAAAAAACGCAAAACUUUCCGGGCUAGAGUCAAAUUAUUUUUCUUUAAAUGGUUAUAGCUCCGUUUCUAACUGUCAUAAUUUGAUCAAUGAGGGCGUUUUGGUAAACUUUCGUGAAAUGCCGAUCUCCUUUUAACAUCAUAAGUUUGUAAAACUACAGCUAGGGGUGCUAUAAUUAAAAAGAAAACUUUCCAAUUUUCUAAGUUAAUUAGCUCCGGCUCUAUAGCACGGAUCGGGCUGAAAUUUUGGUAGAGGGAGCGGAUUGAGCUAAAAAUUCUUCAUGAAUCUCUCUUAAACAUGCCUAAGAAACUUACUUAUGUUAUAAAGAAUAAGGUAAAUACCAAUUAUUAAAGCAUUCUUAUUGAUUAGGUUUUUUAAAUUUUCAUUUUAAAAAAAAUUGAAUGAAUUUCGCUCUAAAUCAUCCAAAAAUUUAAUAUUUGGCUGGCGUACACGCACGAACGCAAAUGCACGAGGGUCAGUGUAUUGUGUUCUUCAAAUGCCGUGAUUUGCAUAAAAUAAAUAAUAUUAGUUUCUAUAUGCAUUGAUUAUAACAAUUAAUAAUUUGAAUGAAAUUUAUAUUUAUUUAGAAUGAAAAACCAAUCAAAUCUAAUACUAUUUUUUGAAUCAAUAGCAUAAGUAUUUGAAAAAAAGGAAACUACAUUCAGAUCUAUGACUGAUUCCAUCAGUACGGAAAACAUUAAAACGAGUCAGUCUUGAAGAAGCCGCUGAGUUGAAAAGUUGUCACACAAAUUAUUUCCAAUCUAUUUGAAAAUGAAAAAAAAAACUAAAAAAUGGUUACAGUGGAUAAGUAAACUUAUAAAGUUGCAAAAAUCAUGAAGUGAUCGACAAAGAAAUUUGAUAAAGUGUUGGAAAUCGUUAGAUUGGUUCAAUCGAUCAUCCUGAUUGCAAGUCAUUGUUGAUUGGAAACGUCCGUGAGCAGAAGCUGGAAAAUUAUCACCAUAUCUGUUUUAUCGAACUACUUUUCUUCAAAAAUUCCAUCUAGGAGAGACCUAAAUAGUAUCAAGUGAUUCGCAGAUAGCAGCAGAACUCAGAGCAAACAGUAAAGGCCGUAAAUCUGCAAAACACAACUUAGAAAAGUGAGCGCUGUAAUAAAAGCAGAC